GGUUAAGUGAAUAAGGGCGCACGGUGGAUGCCUUGGCACUAGGAGCCGAUGAAGGACGGGACUAACACCGAUAUGCUUUGGGGAGCUGUACGUAAGCUAUGAUCCAGAGAUUUCCGAAUGGGGGAACCCAGCAUCUUUAAUAGGAUGUUACGAUUGUGUGAAUACAUAGCACAUUCGAGGUAGACGCAGAGAACUGAAACAUCUAAGUACCUGCAGGAAGAGAAAGAAAAUUCGAUUCCCUGAGUAGCGGCGAGCGAAACGGGAAAAGCCCAAACCAGCAAGCUUGCUUGUUGGGGUUGUAGGACUCCAAUAUGGUAGUUCUUUCAGAUAGUCGAAUGACUUGGAAAAGUCAGUCAAAGAGGGUAAAAACCCCGUAGACGAAAUGUGGAAGACACCUAGGAGGAUCCUGAGUACGGCGGAACACGAGAAAUUCCGUCGGAAUCCGGGAGGACCAUCUCCCAAGGCUAAAUACUCCCUAGUGACCGAUAGUGAACCAGUACCGUGAGGGAAAGGUGAAAAGCACCCCGGAAGGGGAGUGAAAUAGAACCUGAAACCGUGUGCCUACAACAAGUCAAAGCCCGUUAAUGGGUGAUGGCGUGCCUUUUGUAGAAUGAACCGGCGAGUUACGAUUGCAUGCGAGGUUAAGUUGAAGAGACGGAGCCGCAGCGAAAGCGAGUCUGAAUAGGGCGUUUGAGUAUGUAGUCGUAGACCCGAAACCAUGUGAUCUACCCAUGUCCAGGUUGAAGGUGCGGUAAAACGCACUGGAGGACCGAACCCACGUACGUUGAAAAGUGCGGGGAUGAGGUGUGGGUAGCGGAGAAAUUCCAAACGAACUUGGAGAUAGCUGGUUCUCUCCGAAAUAGCUUUAGGGCUAGCCUCGGAAUUGAGAAUGAUGGAGGUAGAGCACUGUUUGGACUAGGGGCCCAUCUCGGGUUACCGAAUUCAGAUAAACUCCGAAUGCCAUUCAUUCAUAUCCGGGAGUCAGACUGUGAGUGAUAAGAUCCAUAGUCGAAAGGGAAACAGCCCAGACCACCAGCUAAGGUCCCAAAAUAUAUGUUAAGUGGAAAAGGAUGUGGGGUUGCACAGACAACUAGGAUGUUGGCUUAGAAGCAGCCACCAUUUAAAG
rnacentral:rRNA from 1 species